GUAUGUGCUACUUUACUGUAUUUUUGCAGAGAUUAUUGAUAAUUGUCUCAGCUGUAUCUUUUUCUCCUCAUAUUUUAGCUUCUAUUUUUUCAUUUUAUCCUACCAUCCUUAAUGUUUUCCAGAAACUUUGAAAUUGUUUCAUUUUGCCAGUCCUGUCUAAUUAUCCUAUUUAUAGUAAGUUCAUUAUUUUAAAAAUUCCCUGUUGUUAUUUAAUAGAAUCUUGGGGGAAACAGGAGAUAAAAUAGCUCAGGUUACCAUACAGAAUUGAGAUUGUUUGGUUGGAUGUAUCUCUCAGAUACCUCUGUGAGAAUACUGAGUAUGCAUUUAGAUAUAAGGCCUAUAAACUCAGCAGACUUUGGUCUGUAGAGCUGGAUAAUCCUGAGAUCACCCACAGGCAUUUUAUUUAAAAAUCAAAACAGAUAUCAUUAGAUGCAGCUAUCCAGGUGGCAUUUAAAUUAAAAAAAAAACAGAAUAACUUCAUUUAAAAAUUAUGCUAAUUGAAAGAGAAGUUACAACAGCAAAUUCUCUUGAUGUGUCACCUGACUAUUAGAUAAUUUUGCAAAUUACCUAAUAUCUACCUACGGUACUUCCAUUAUCUAUAAGAAAGUGAAUGGUGGCCACAUCAGAGUGUUUCAUGGGUUCUACAACUACCUUCAAUUAAUUAAUGUGCCAGAAAGACUCAUAGGACAUAGCAGCAGGUUAUACACAUGGCUAGAGUUUAUUACAGAAUGAUUAAAAACAAAAAAUAAAAGAGUAAAAGCAACAAGUAAAACAUCUAUAUUAGGCAAAGUCCAGAGUCAUCAAAAACAGGUUUACAAAUCCUUUACUCAUAGGGUACCAUAGGAUGCACUUUCUCUCUAGCAGCAAACUAUAGGAACCCAUGAGAGAAGUAUCUUUCCACUGAAUUCUGCUUAAUUCUCCAGGCCUGGGUGGUUAAUGAUCAUAAGAAUUGAUCAUGUAGGCACAUUCCUGCUAACAGCCGUGAUAACUGAUACCCAAGACCUAGUACAGGGUCCAGAUCUAUAUUAUAAAUUUUGGUAAACAUUUACAGAUAUAUUUACAACAUAACCUAAUAGUACAGUGUGCCCUGUUUAUCCAGGUGUAUAAAACAACAUCAUCUGUCUGUGACAUAAAGAACAAUCCAAAGACCACAUUUCCAAGGGAUGACUAAAGAUCAAUCAUCAUUCCAGGACCCUUCAGAGUUAUAUAAAUAUUGAGUAACCCAACCCACUGUGUUAACAUUUUCCUUUAUAGGGUGACCAUACAAUGUAUCAUCCAAACCAGGAUUCUCCUGAGAGUUAAAAAGCCUUAUUAUUAAUACUCGGUAUAAAACCAUAAGCCAGCACCAUAUCAUCUUCAUUCAAUGUGUUUUCUACAAAGAAUAGAAAGUGCAAAUUGUACGAUUUAAGAGACCAGAUGGUUUACCCUAAAUAUUUAACCUCUCCUCAUGCAUUUCUUCCCCAAGCAAGCAUGGGAAACAAAUGGUAAUAUUUGCAGUGUUGGGGGAAAUGGAACCAAUAUGAAGGAAAACCAAGCUAAAACAUGAAAGCAAUUAUAUAUAGAACAAAAGAUCUAAUAGGUAGAUGCAAUUUCUAGUUAGACAGAAAGAUCAGUAUAUAAGCUAACAGUGAAGAAAAUGUUUCUUUAGGAAAAAUAAGGCAGAUCUGAAUCACUAGUAAUCAAAACACAAGAAGUGAGGCUGAUGCUUAUUCGAUUGAGUAGUGGGGCUUGUGGUUGAGACUCUUAGGCUUCUCUCAACUGGUCUUGGAGGAAGAGAACCCAGCAUCUGACAAACUAUCUUGUUUCUGAUGUCUGAAACUUUAUCCAUCCUUAUUUUAAGUCAUUAAGCUUAAAACAUGUGAAUAUAUUGUAGGUACAAAAUUACUAAUCUUGUUUAUAUUAAAAUUUGUUUAUUAGAUCCUAUCUCAUAUAGCAACUAUCAGAGAAGUUCAACGUAUGAAGAAAACUACAAAAAGUGUUUUUAUCUGUAUCAAGCCAGUUGAGGGUCUUCAAACUAAACACUGAAAGAGUUUGCUGUAAAGUCAUGGAACCAGGGUAUACUGACUCCAUCUACACAAGUCAAAGGUUUGCCACUUCUAGGUAAUGGAAAACAUUGGAAGACCAGAGAAUUCUUAAAUAUGAGUCCAUGAGUCCACUUUCUUGAUCUUUUCUUGGUUGAGGACUAUGUUGCUGAGAUACCAAGGAGACUAGUAAAACAUUUCUACUAAAAGUGCAGCCUGCUCACAAGCACUGGUUGCUAAACAACUAAUUACCAGUCUAGAACUAGAGAAAGUCAAAAAUUGAUAGAAUAUUUUAGAAACUUUUGUGGAAUUUUGACAUGGCUACCAUAUUCAAGUACAUUUUCAAUGGGUCCAUUUGUGGCUGAAAAUAUUAAGCAAGGUGUGACCCUUCUUGGAAAUGCCAUCAUGUGUUUAUGCUGACACCAAAACAGGCUCAUUGAUUUUCCAGCUUUCUAAUUCAUGCAAUCUCAGAUUUGAAAGGACACAACAAAAAUUUAGCCAAGAGUAAAUCUAAUUCUAAUAAAAUAUGGUCCAAAGAUAUGUUCAGCUUAUGAUUAAAGUAAAAUUUUAUUGUGACUUUUUUUAAGAAUCCAAGUGUUCUCCUACUUACCAGAGAAUGAUGAUUAAUGGCAUAUGUGAAUAAAUAUACCUGUGAA
rnacentral:lncRNA from 10 species